rnacentral:antisense_RNA from 1 species
UCAGUUAAAGAUAGUUCCAUUCCAGAUCUGAGUACCAACUCAGUGUUGGAUGUAAAAAAGCCCGAUUACCCAUCGGGCUUUUUUAC